AGUCUGGUGCCAGCAGCCGCGGUAAUUCCAGCUCCAAUAGCGUAUAUGUAAGUUGUUGCGAUUAAAAAGCCCGUAGCUGAACCUCGGGCAACCCUGACGGUCCGCGUUUCGUGAGUACUGUCGUGGGUUGUCUUUCUGGCAAGACCGUAUCUCGGUGUUAACUCGCCGGGAACGGCGCUUGCCAAGGUUACUUUGAGUAAAAUAGAGUGUUCAAAGCAAGCUCGCGCUCUGAAUACACUAGCAUGGGAUAACACGACAUGACCGAUGGUCUAUCUUGUUGGCCUGUAGACCUGUUGGUAAUGGCUAAUAGGGACGGUCGGGGGCAUUCGUAUUUCGCUGUCAGAGGUGAAAUUCUUGGAUUUGCGAAAGACGAACUACUGCGAAAGCAUUUGCCAAGGACGCUUUCAUUAGUCAAGGACGAAAGUCGGGGGAUCGAAGACGAUUAGAUACCGUCGUAGUCUCGACCAUAAACGAUGCCAAUUAGGGAUUGGAGGGUGGAUCCAAUAUGCCUCCUCCAGCACCUUCCGCGAAAGCAAAAUUUAUGGGCUUCGGGGGGAGUAUGGUCGCAAGGCUGAAACUUAAAGGAAUUGACGGAACGGCACCACCAGGCGUGGAGCCUGCGGCUUAAUUUGACCCAACACGGGAAAACUUACCAGGUCCAGACAAGAUUAGGAUUUACAGAUUGAUAGCUCUUUAAAGAUUUUUUGGAUGGUGGUGCAUGGCCGUUCUUAGUUCGUGGAUUGAUUUGUCAGGUUGAUUCCGGUAACGGACGAGACCCCAACCUACUAACUAGCCCUGGUUGCUUCGCAGCCAGCAGUGCUUCUUAGAGGGACUCUCGGAAUGAAACCGAAGGAGGUGGGGCAAUAACAGGUCUGUGAUGCCCUUAGAUGUCCUGGGCCGCACGCGCGCUACACUGAUGCAUUCAACGAGCCUACCCUGUGCCGAGAGGUAUGGGUAAUCUGAGAAACUGCAUCGUGAUGGGGCUAGAUUAUUGCAAUUAUUGAUCUUCAACGAGGAAUGCCUAGUAAGCGCGAGUCAUCAACUCGCGUUGAUUACGUCCCUGCCGUUUGUACACACCGCCCGUCGCUCCUACCGAUUGGGUGUGCUGGUGAAAUGUUCGGAUUGGUAGCCUUUCCGUAAGGGAGGCUCCUGAGAAGUUCAUUGAACCCUCUCAUCUAGA
rnacentral:rRNA from 1 species